GGGGAUUUAGCUCAGUGGUAGAGCGCUUGCCUAGCAAGCGCAAGGUCCUGGGUUUGGUCCCCAGCUCCG
rfam:Rattus norvegicus chromosome X, whole genome shotgun sequence.